CCUACGGGUGGCUGCAGUGGGGAAUAUUGGACAAUGGGGGCAACCCUGAUCCAGCCAUGCCGCGUGUGUGAAGAAGGCCCUCGGGUUGUAAAGCACUUUCAGUGAGGAAGAACGCCUGGUGGUUAAUACCCAUCAGGAAAGACAUCACUCACAGAAGAAGCACCGGCUAACUCCGUGCCAGCAGCCGCGGUAAUACGGAGGGUGCGAGCGUUAAUCGGAAUUACUGGGCGUAAAGCGCGCGUAGGUGGCUUGAUAAGCCGGUUGUGAAAGCCCCGGGCUCAACCUGGGAACGGCAUCCGGAACUGUCAAGCUAGAGUGCAGGAGAGGAAGGUAGAAGUCCCGGUGUAGCGGUGAAAUGCGUAGAGAUCGGGAGGAAUACCAGUGGCGAAGGCGGCCUUCUGGACUGACACUGACACUGAGGUGCGAAAGCGUGGGUAGCAAACAGGAUUAGAUACCCCUGUAGUC
rnacentral:rRNA from 1 species